rnacentral:rRNA from 1 species
UACGCAGGGUGCAAGCGUUAAUCGGAAUUACUGGGCGUAAAGUGUGCGCAGGCGGCCGCGCAAGUCGAGUGUGAAAGCCCCGGGCUUAACUUGGGAAUUGCGCUCGAAACUACGUGGCUGGAGUAUGGCAGAGGAAGGUGGAAUUCCACGUGUAGCGGUGAAAUGCGUAGAGAUGUGGAGGAACACCGAUGGCGAAGGCAGCCUUCUGGGCCAAUACUGACGCUCAUGCACGAAAGCGUGGGGAGCAAACAGG